GCCCGGCAGACAAUGGGAAGGAAAUCCCCCUCCCCCAGCCCCGGCCGCGGCGGGUUUCCUCGUCGGCACGGGGAAAUGUUUGUUCCAACAAGAAGCGGGCUCGGGGCCGCCGGCAGCCCCCCUCCCCGGGGCGGGGGGCGGUGCGAGGCCGCAGGGCCGCGCUUCCUCCCGCCCGGCCGGGAAGGGCCCGGGCAAGGGCGAGCCGCAGCCGCGGCUCCGGGGCAGGACCGGCACCUCCCGGGCUGCAGUGGCUCGCCUGGGGAAAGGAUUUGCCGCUCCGAAAGGUUUAUGUUGUGAUGCUACACAAAAGAGGCAGGAUUGUUUCUGGAGCAGAGUUCUUGCAUCAAACACAUUGCCUGAGCUGAAGAUCCUUACCAGACUGAAGCUGGCCUGGCAUGAAGCCAUCUUCCUGUGCUUGGAGCUUUGAUGUGUCCCGAUAUCAUCUGCAGCUUGACUACACCUCUUGGUGGUAUCACUGAUUGGCUGUACAAGGAUGGGCUUAAUUAAUAGCAACAUUUGUGUCAGUUUUGAACCAUUAUGCUCAAGAUGAAAGCUAAUAGGAACAAAAAAAAAAAA